AGAUGAAGGAGAGUUCAGGCAGAAGGACAAUAAAACCUCUCAGCAGUUGCACAUUGGUGCAAGUCGCCGAAGGGUCAGCAUAGCAGUGAUCACCAAACAAGUCCAGGUCUGCGCAUGUUCAAGUCCUUCCUCUCCAAAGACAUGCACGUACCCACGCACACCAACUAUCUGCCUAUUCUUUUGCCUCAGGAAAAGAGAAAAUGGGAAAGAGGGCUGCAGAAGUCAUUCUCAUUAGAUCAUGGGAUAGGCAAGAAGUCACUCUCAACCCCAUCUCCAUCAAUGGACUCCAUCACAGAGUCCAACCCUUCAGUCAUGGUCAAGACAGAAGAGAUGGAUGUUCCCUUACUGGCUGGCAGACCACAUGAAGCCCCUGAUGAUAACAAACAAGAAGUCGCUGCUGUUGUCCAGUCACCACCUGAACCAGACCCCUCUCCAGUCUAUACAGCACCCUGUCCCACUCUCACACACAAGCCAAACGAAGUGGACACCAAGAAAAACAGCAUG